GACGGAGGAUGCAAGUGUUUAUCCGGAAUCACUGGGGCGUAAAGCGUCUGUAGGUGGUUCGAAAAGUCCCACUGUUAAAAAAUUGAGGCUUAACUUCAAAGAUGCCGUGGAAACUUUCAAACUAGAGUGAUGGUAGGGGUAGAGGGAAUUUCCGAGUGGAGCGGUGAAAUGCGUAGAUAUUGGAAAGACCACCGAUGGCGAAGGCACUCGCUGCGUGGCGACUGACUGACGCUGGAGAAAGCGGAAAUGGAGCCGUAAGG
rnacentral:rRNA from 1 species